rnacentral:piRNA from 1 species
UAGCUUGCAUUCUUCGGCAAC